rnacentral:rRNA from 1 species
UACGAAGGGGGCUAGCGUUGCUCGGAAUCACUGGGCGUAAAGCGCACGUAGGCGGCUUUCUAAGUCAGGGGUGAAAUCCUGGAGCUCAACUCCAGAACUGCCUUUGAUACUGGAAAGCUUGAGUUCGGGAGAGGUGAGUGGAACUGCGAGUGUAGAGGUGAAAUUCGUAGAUAUUCGCAAGAACACCAGUGGCGAAGGCGGCUCACUGGCCCGAUACUGACGCUGAGGUGCGAAAGCGUGGGGAGCGAACGGG